rnacentral:rRNA from 1 species
UACAGAGGUCCCAAGCGUUGUUCGGAUUCACUGGGCGUAAAGGGUGCGUAGGUGGCUGGGCAAGUUUGAUGUGAAAUCUCCGGGCUUAACCCGGAAACUGCAUUGAAAACUGCCCGGCUGGAGGAUUGGAGGGGGGACUGGAAUUCUCGGUGUAGCAGUGAAAUGCGUAGAUAUCGAGAGGAACACCAGUGGCGAAGGCGAGUCCCUGGACAAUACCUGACACUGAGGCACGAAAGCCGGGGGAGCAAACAGG